rnacentral:rRNA from 1 species
UACGUAGGGGUCUAGGCGUUGUCCGGAAUUAUUGGGCGUAAAAGGAGCUCGUAGGCGGUUCGGCAAGUCGGAUGGUGAAAUCUCCACGCUUAACGUUGGAGGGGCCAUUCGAAACUGCCGUGACUCGAGUCCGGGUAGGGGAGUUCGGAAUUCCCGGAUGUAGCGGUGAAAUGCGCAGAUAUCGGGAGGAACACCAGUGGCGAAGGCGGAACUCUGGGCCGGAACUGACGCUGAGGAGACGAAAGCGGUGGGGAGCAAACAGG